AUCCGGCUAACGAGUCUCAAAUAGGACGAAACGUGCGUCCUGGAU
rnacentral:hammerhead_ribozyme from 1 species